AUAUGGUUGCAAUGAAAAUAUAACCAAUUUAAAAAAAUGGAAAAUGUAUGAUAUAAUAAAGACUAAUUAAUUGAUAAAUGUACAUGUGAACUGUGUGAAUUGCAAGAAGAUAUCAUUAACAAUAUUUUCUUCAUACUGUAUAACGGUUUGUUGCAAAUCAUAUGUCUGUAUGACAAUAAUAUGUAUCGCAGUAAUAUGAAUUAUACAUGCUUUGUAUUAAAUGAUACACUGAUACUCAAAUUUUCUAUGCAAUCAAGUAACAGGUACACACAUUAUCUGUGCAUGUUUUUUUCUGUAUUUUGUGUUUUUUAUUAGAUGUGUAAAAAGCAGUGGGGAUGAACAGGAAAUUUGUUAUUUAAAAGAAAAUGUUAUGCAACAAGAACUAAAAUCUUGUAAAUUUUCAAAAAUGUUUGAUAGUCAUGAUAGUAGGCCUAUGUGCUUUAAAUGUUUUUAUGAACUGAAUAAUUAGACCAAAUGUACAAAAAAGUAGAUUCAAUUUAGAAUACUUUCUUUGUAGUAUAUAUUUCAUAUGACACUUUACAAUUAGACUUUCCAGUUAUUACAUUGACAUCAAGGUAUACUCAUGCCAUCACUGGUGAACCAAGACUUUGCACUUAAAGUUUAAAAUAUUAAUUGAUUUGGUAGUCAGACAGAAACGCUUGGUAUAACUAACUGAAUUCUCUCUGUCCUGAUUGCUGUAGAUAUUCACUGUGCAUGUACUGCUUGAAAGAACUCAGGCUGAUACUAAACACAAUUAAGGUUCAAAAUGUAUUUGUAUAUGAUUUUACACAAGAAACUAUGCAAGUAUUCCACUCUUUAGAGUUUACCAUGAUGAGAAUAACUAGAUUCUCUUGCUAAAUAUCUGCUGUCAAGCUUAAUUAAUAAGGUCUGCCACAAGGUUCUAAGCUAGCCAGCAUAAAAGCCAUUGGUUCUUUCAUAGCAAUUGUCUGAACUUUGCAAAUUUGAUGAUAUGUCCAACUGUGAACAGGCUAUUUUUCAGCUUUGCUCCAUGGAAUGGAAGUAUCAACUAUAAACUCUAUUCCUUCUGAAGCCAAUUUGUGCAGUAUUGAAGGGCAUAUAGUUCAGUUCUCGGUUAGACGGUGCUUGAGAAAUCUAUUCAUUUUCCAAGGUACAGAGGAAUUGAUUAUUGGAUUUGAUAAAGUGUGUUUUACAAGAGAAAAUAAAAUCAGCCAAGAAACUGCAAAUGUAUCAUAAAACAUUGAUCUGCUGAGCAAAAGGAAGAGUGUGUCAUAUUUAAUACCAGUCAAUUAAUGAAAAUUCCUGCAUUAUGACCAGACUUUGACAAGCGCAUCUCUUCAAUGCAUACCCUAUAUGCUGGACUGCUCUACUCUCGCAAACAUAGAACUUCUUAUGAGUGGUAAUGUGUACAUACAUGUACUGUGUACUGUGAACAGUGCCUAGAACUGGACAUCAAAGCCAUCAAUCACAUUUAAUUUCUGACAAUCUAUUCCCAAAUUAUGUAUACCAAACCAAUGUAAAGAAUGAUGUGACCAUAAUCACAAGCAAUCACUAAGAAUUUGCAAAUCUGCAUCGAUUACUGAACUAUCAUCACCAUAUUGUGUUCAUCAUUUUGAGUAUGUUGCAUGUCUGAAUACAGUGUUUUUUAAAAUUUCAGAACUAAAAAUUGUUUACAAUUCCAAAUCAUAAAUAGCUGCAUUAUUCUGAAAUAUGGACCAAUAAAUGGAUUUGAUCAUUUUAUUAUACAUACUUAAUCAUGGUGAUGAUACAAAAUGUUGGUGGGGUAAUGAAAUCCACCUUAAACUUGCUUAAUGUGAAGGACUGUAAUAAAACCAUGCUCAUAAUACAUUGCCUUAAGGGAUACUUUGGCAUGUAGCCAUGUUGGUUUCUUUCCACAAUUAAUCUGGCCUCUUGAUGUUUACGUAAAAAUAUAAUUUUAUUCUUGAAAAAUACAAUAGGACCUCAUUUAUAAAGAGCUUGGAUAUAAGAAAACGCUUAUAACAUAGUACUGAAUAAAGUUCUAACUUUUAUUUUCUUUUGUUUUUACCCUGAUAUAACUAGAUUGUGUUAUAAAAAAUUAAUUUUCUUGGUUGCAAGAACCUUAUCAUGAUAAAGAUAACAAAGAAGAAAAUAUGACGAGAAGAUUUCUUUAGCUUUAAUUUAGGUAUUCCAAACAGUUUUUAAAUUAAAUAGAGAUAUACGUAAAAAUUCAUUGUUUAUCAUUAUUAAGCAACUACUGUAAGUGAUUCUGUGUGGUGUACAUUUAAAAAUGACAUCUUAAGAUAUUCCCUUUAUAUAAUUGUUCAAGAGUGUAGUUGUUAUGGAGACUAAGGCCUAGUUCAGACUAGGUGGAUAAACCCGGCUUAACUCACCGGGUUUAUCCACCUGCCAAUCUGAACUAGGUGGCUUAUCUCAAGCCGCGCUGUGUUCCUAUAGUAACUAGGCCUGCCGCGCCACCGUGUGUAACUUUUCUAAAGCCGGGCUUUAAUCGUUGCGAUGGGUCUUGCAUUGACUUCGGGUGAUGAAAUGACCAAUCAGCAUUCAAUUACGUACGCUGUGAGCGAGCGUACGUUUCGCCGAGCAAUGUUUUGAAACACGUUUCCUGGUUACGGUUCAUUAUUAUGCAAAUUCUCGCCUGGCUAAACGUUGAGCCGGGCUUAACUAAAGCCUGGCUUAUCUCCAAGUCUAAACGUAGCUAAAUUGAUUUAGGCAAUCAAUGUUUAGGAAAGUGAUUGCCCCAAGGACAAUAUUCACGGCAUGUAGUUAAGCGCCAGUUAUUGAGAUGGUUUUACCUUAGUAUGUUUCUUUUUUUGUAACUUCAGUUUGAAGGUACUGUUUGUUUCCAAAAGAAAAAAAAAAUAUUUGACUGAA